rnacentral:lncRNA from 15 species
CUAGCUAGUAUAAAUAUGGCUCACAGACUGUUGGAUAUAAAUAGGGACCAGAAAUUGAUUGACAAAACGACCUUUGCCACUAGUUUGCUAGCUAUAGGAAAUAACAUGUGUGCCUAUAGACCGAAAGCUUCAGUCUCUGAUAUCGACGGUGGUUCCGCUGAGAUUGCUUCUGGCUCCACUGACCGCCUCUUUACAACAAAUGUCAGUUUUAUUAAAGAAAUGACCCAUAUCAGACGGUUAUUUCUGUCUAGUGUGCCUACAGCUGCAUGCAGCCUAUACUAUAGCCAAGAAAGUUCGCCAGCUAGCUAGUGCAGAAUAUUUGAUCAACAAUUUGUAAACACAGCGGCGGUGAUUGUCAUACUUGGAUUGUAUUGGUAUAAAGUAAACCUUGAACUAUGUCGUGUUUGUCCGAUGAAAUCAUUCGUGAGUUCAGGGAGAAUGGGGCCGUGUGUUUGCGGCAGGCGUUCAGCAAGGACUGGCUAGAGGUUGCAGAGAGGGGGAUCAAUAGGAACAUGAAGGAGCCUGGAGAGAACGUGGAGGUCUUACAGAGCGAAGGGGAAGGGACGGGCAGAUACUUCACAGACUUUGCUAACUGGUGGAGGAUAUCAGAAUUUCAGGAGUUUGUGAGGAAGUCUCCAGCUGCAGAGAUCUGCGGGAAACUGAUGGGAAGCAAGCAUGUAGUGUUCUACCAUGAGCUGGUAGUGAGUAAGGAACCAGGAACAGAUCGCAUCACACCGUGGCAUCAAGACCAACCCUACUUCCCAGUUGAUGGGGACCAGGUCUGUGCAAUAUGGCUGCCUGUUGACCCCGUUGCCAAGGAAACCUGUGUGACAUACAUUAAGGGGUCACAUCGUUGGGGCAAAUGGUUCUACCCUCAAAGGUUCAAGACGUUCUCGGACUACGAAGCGGACAAUGAGGAGUCAUGUGACACUCAUGAAUGGACGAGCCUGUCGGACAUGAAGUUAGAUACCACUCUUGAUCAGUAUGAGUUACUCAGUUGGGACCUUCAGCCUGGUGACUGCAUCGUCUUCCACCUCCGUACCCUGCACAUGGCCCCUGCCAAUCAUUCUCGUCGGGUCCCGCGUCGCGUUCUCUCCACUCGCUGGGCAGGGGACGAUGUUACCGGCACGAGACGCCCCUGGAAGACCACGGAUAUUUACACCAAGGACUUGGUGCCCGGGAAACCCAUCGCCAGUGAAAGAUAUCCCAUAGUUUGGAGAGCAGAAAACAGUGUGGGAGGUAUUUAGGUGCUGUCAACCCACAGCAGUUCAAAGUUGUCUUAAAGGGCAAUCCAACCCUUGUUAUAAGUUGAUUUGAAUGGAAGCAGAAAAAGUAAUAGAAACAGAACGGCAAAAGUUUGAAAUGAAUCGGACCAAUAGUAAGGAAGUUAAAAAACGAUUGUAAUAAGAGAUAUUCUAAGUCUACGCGAAUCUCAAAUUGGUAGUUUGGUCAGUGGAUUGUGACGUAGGACAUGAAUAAUUCUCCUAUUUGCCGUGUACACAAAUAUUAAUUUAGUUAAGUUCCUUCUCCCUUGGGGUGCUAACCAAAAUAUAUUAUAGAUAGCAUAUUAUUUUAGGUCCUCUAAAACAGAACAGACCCUUCAGAGCCAUGACUUUUUGAAAGAUAUAAAUUGUAUUCAUUUUAUAUGUUGGAACAGAUGGGAAAGUAGUCCGGCAGUACAUCACAUUGAC